rnacentral:rRNA from 1 species
UAAACGACUCUCGGCAACGGAUAUCACGGCUCUCACAUCGAUGAAGAACGUAGCGAAAUGCGAUACUUGGUGUGAAUUGCAGAAUCCCGUGAACCAUCGAGUCUUUGAACGCAAGUUGCGCCCGAAGACAUUAGGCCGAGGGCACGUCUGCCUGGGCGUCACAC